rnacentral:rRNA from 1 species
UACGGAGGAUCCAAGCGUUAUCCGGAUUCACUGGGUUUAAAGGGUGCGUAGGUGGAAUGACAAGUCAGUGGUGAAAACCUGCAGCUUAACUGUAGAACUGCCAUUGAUACUGUUAUUCUUGAGUACAUUUGAUGUGAGUGGAAUGUGUCGUGUAGCGGUGAAAUGCUUAGAUAUGACACAGAACACCAAUUGCGAAGGCAGCUCACAAAACUGUAACUGACACUGAGGCACGAAAGCGUGGGGAUCAAACAGG